UGGCCGACGCGCCCCUGUCGGAGCGAGGGGACCAGGUUUCCGAGUCCUGUGGGGACUCAGGAGGCGCCGCCUCCCCCCGCCCGAGCCAAACACAUGGUACGCCCCGAGCGGGCACGGGAGCCCAUUAGUUGUUUAGGGCUGGAAUCAAACCCUUGGCACAAGUGAUUUCCUGCCCCCACCUCCCAGUGGAAACAGCAGAUGCACCACCAUCACAACUUUUGGACAUAUUUUCCUAAGAAGGAAGACAGUUGGAAUACGGUUUCACCUUCAUUUUCUGUGGCCAGGCCCCCCCAUCAGAAAGUCUACACCACUCUACACUCCCUCCAGCAGUGAGCGUGAGGACAGGUCUUUGUGAUGUCACCGCUGUUAACUGUUACCAAUUUAAUGAUAAAAGAUGACAUUUAAUAGCUGUGUUUACUUGA